rnacentral:ribozyme from 1 species
UCCACUUUUGAUUAUCCAGCUCAACCAUGAUGAAGAGAUCUCUUUCGUCAUCUUCCUCAAAAAACAAUCCCCAUUACGGAACACGAAGCCAUAAUGGCUAUGGCUGCCUCCACGGCGACGAACAUGGUAGAAUCAGCGGCGCCCCUUUUCAUGGACAUACUUGACG